ensembl:lncRNA
AUGAAACUUGAAGUUAGGAAAAAAUUGAGUAAGCUAGACACAUUUGCUUCUCCUUUUAAAAAUGGAAAUGACAAGCUCUUGCCACUUUCAUAUGCAGCCGGACAUGGUGUAUUUGUGUUUCUGAGGUUAUUGUACAAGAUGAAAUGGGUGGGCCCUACGUUUGAUUUCACUGGCGUCCUUAGAAAAAGAAGAAAGGACACACCGAGGUACACAGUUGUACAGGGAGGAAGGCCCUGCAAAGACAAAGGUGAAGACUGAAGUGAUGUAGCCACGAGCCAAGGAGUGCCAAGGAUUGUCGGGAGCCACCAGAAGCUGUUGGAGGAGAUCAGGGCAGAUUCCUCUCUAGAGCCUUCACAGGGAGCAAGGCCCUGACCAACGCCUUGAUACCAGGCUUUCAGCCUUCCAGCACCGUAAUAGAAUACAUUUCUGUUAUUUUCAGCCACUUUGUUAAAACAGCCCUAGGGAACUAAUACAACUGGUGAAAUUCAAACUGGUGUCACUCCUGAGCGACACCAAAGAACUCUCAAGAUCUCGCUCUAGAACUUACUUCUCACAGCUCCACAUCACAGCCAAACAGCCUUUUUAAGGAUCCAGAUUCCGUAUCUUGUCAAUGGGUUAAAAAAAAAUUCGUUAAAAAAAGGUCCAGAAAGUGCUCAGCGCUUUCCCACGGGCACUAUCCCACCAUCUGGAGUGCCCCAUCUCCACUCACCCAUCACUACAUGUCCAAAGCUCCCUCCUUCUGAGCCCGGUGCAGAAGGCAUCCCACAGGACAUGAUCUGACCCCCCAAAUCAGACAUCAUCUUACUGUCUUCAGAAACCUCGCAGCACUAUCUUUGUAUUUCACAUUGCCAAUUUUUACUUUGAAUCAGUCAUGUGUGUCUGUAGCUUAAUCUGGGAGAGUGAUCAGAUCUUAUACAUUUUUCUAUUGACCACAAUACCAGGGAUCAGUGCCUUAAAUGAAAUUGUUACCUAGUACAUGCUAUUGCAGUGAUCAAUGUCUAUUUUGCUGGUUUGCCUGUUCCUUGAGAAUGAAUAAGUAACCAUAAUCUAAUUGUUUACAUAUAUAUAUAUCAGUUUAUUAGGGAAGAAUGGCAAAAGUGGAGAAAGCAGACUUUUAUACUACAAAAUCUAAAUGGAAAUACACACAGACACACACACACCCCAAAUACACAGUACAUGUGUUUAAAUUGAUAUAAAAUAUGUCCCUAAAUAAUAUGACUCUUACUAAAAGGUAACAGUACAUCUAUUUAUUAUUAACCACAGUACUGCUUUUCUGAAAAUCUCAAGGGAAUAAGAAGAAUGAGGUGAAUAGAAGGUUUGAAGACAGUAAUUUCAGAUUCCCACUGGAGUGGGCGUGCUGAGAGGCAAGGCAGCCUGAUUCCCUCCUGCAGUGGAAACGUAUCCAUGUUACCCUAUCAUGAAAUUCAUUGCGGCAUGGCUUCAAUCACUCCGGCUCUACUGAGAGCAGCGGAGUGAGAGAUCACCAUGAGCCUGCUGCCUACCUCACCCCUGUCCUGGGGCCUCCACCGGAGCCACAGAGGGACUGCCUCCCUCUCUCCCCUGGCCAUUUCCUUGCUGGCACAGUCUGCCCUGCCACACUUCUACUUUCUUUCUUUUAUUUGUUUUCUU